CAAGUUCCUGUUUUCUCCACAUUAACCUGAGAAGGUCACUGAAGGUCAUUCAGACUUUAAAGAACAAUAAACUAUAAUUAUUAACUAUUAAAGUGAAAUAAAAAUGAUGUUUUUAAUGGAGUUAUUAUUCAGGAGUAUGUUCAUGUUUAAUACUUACAACUCCGCUGGAUCUCCGGUGAUCCCACACGACAUCAUUACUAUUGUUGACAGUUUCUCAGGAUCUACACCGUGUUUCUCUACGGGAUAAAAAGUGUUCAAAAGUUUACUCUUUAGUCGAUCUAUCGAGGGUUUCCAGACAUUUCUACACCUGCUACAAGGUUUACAAUCCAGCCUCAAAAACAGGUGUUUGAUCAGAGACGAUUGGUGGUAAAUAUACAGUGAUAUACGAUGAAAACAGGAUUAUUGAUCAGAUUGUUGAGAUAAAAAAAAAGGUCCCUAUCGCUAAAUGCCGCAAAUUUGACGAGCUGUUUUAAUGACGCCUUUUUCUGUCAAACUUUUGACCAAUCACACGGUCUCAUAUUCUUCUUCUACUGUUCCCUUGAUGGUAGUGUCCAAUAAGAGGCAACCAAAGAUCAACAAGAGACAAGAAGGUUCCCUGAAGAGACUCUGAGCAGCAUGAUGUGGUCCUCUGUCUCAUCCCAGGAGCGGCAGAAACAACUGUAAACAGUCAAAAAAAACACCUGGAAGAAUGAGUGUAAAUAUGUCAAUAGUUUCUGUUGUGUGUUUGUUCCAAUCCUAAUAUUUCUUCUCCUGAUAGACUUGAGAGAAUGAUGUUCAGGUGAGAAAAGGUUU